AGUAUAAGCAACUUGUACUGUGAAACUGCGAAUGGCUCAUUAAAUCAGUUAUCGUUUAUUUGAUAGUACCUUACUACAUGGAUACCUGUGGUAAUUCUAGAGCUAAUACAUGCUAAAAACCCCGACUUCAGGAAGGGGUGUAUUUAUUAGAUAAAAAACCAACGCCCUUCGGGGCUCCUUGGUGAAUCAUAAUAACUUAACGAAUCGCAUGGCCUUGCGCCGGCGAUGGUUCAUUCAAAUUUCUGCCCUAUCAACUUUCGAUGGUAGGAUAGUGGCCUACCAUGGUGGCAACGGGUAACGGGGAAUUAGGGUUCGAUUCCGGAGAGGGAGCCUGAGAAACGGCUACCACAUCCAAGGAAGGCAGCAGGCGCGCAAAUUACCCAAUCCCGAUACGGGGAGGUAGUGACAAUAAAUACUGAUACGGGGCUCUUUUGGGUCUCGUAAUUGGAAUGAGAACAAUUUAAAUCCCUUAACGAGGAACAAUUGGAGGGCAAGUCUGGUGCCAGCAGCCGCGGUAAUUCCAGCUCCAAUAGCGUAUAUUAAAGUUGUUGCAGUUAAAAAGCUCGUAGUUGAACCUUGGGUCUGGCUGGCCGGUCCGCCUCACCGCGAGUACUGGUCCGGCUGGACCUUUCCUUCUGGGGAACCUCAUGGCCUUCACUGGCUGUGGGGGGAACCAGGACUUUUACUGUGAAAAAAUUAGAGUGUUCAAAGCAGGCCUUUGCUCGAAUACAUUAGCAUGGAAUAAUAGAAUAGGACGUGUGGUUCUAUUUUGUUGGUUUCUAGGACCGCCGUAAUGAUUAAUAGGGAUAGUCGGGGGCGUCAGUAUUCAGCUGUCAGAGGUGAAAUUCUUGGAUUUGCUGAAGACUAACUACUGCGAAAGCAUUCGCCAAGGAUGUUUUCAUUAAUCAGGGAACGAAAGUUAGGGGAUCGAAGACGAUCAGAUACCGUCGUAGUCUUAACCAUAAACUAUGCCGACUAGGGAUCGGACGGGAUUCUAUAAUGACCCGUUCGGCACCUUACGAGAAAUCAAAGUUUUUGGUUCCUGGGGGGAAUAGGGUCGCAAGGCUGAAACUUAAAGAAAUUGACGGAAGGGCACC
rnacentral:rRNA from 1 species